GUGGCAGGAUGAACAGGCUCGUCUUCGGACGAACUAGGUGGUCCACACCAGUGUCUCGGACAGCGGUUCGAUUCCGCUCAGCUCCAUUCCCCCGACCCACCGCCCCGCAGGCGGUGCGUCAUCCCGGGGCUGCAAUGGUUUCGACGGGGCAUGAGGAGGGUGACUGAAGCCUGCUCGGUCAGAGCGAACCCGUAACAGCGAACAACAUCGUUCGUUUCUCCCGUCAAGCCGCCCCCGUGGCUGCCUGACACUCUUAACGGAGACGGGGUGAGGUCAGCCUUGUCACCCAAAUGACCCAUGGGGCCUGGAAGGGCCC
rfam:Synechococcus PCC6307 tmRNA proteolysis tag gene.